AACCUGCUUUCCCACCCUCGCCUGGGAAUGGGAGGAGAGGGGACUCUGGAGCACAUUCCUUGAGGGCUCUGGUUUUGCACAUAGUGUUAUCAAAGCCCUGCCAGAGCUCUGCUGCCUAUUGCUAGGUCUUGGAGUGAGUCAGCCCAGCAAGAGAAAACUUGUUUUUCUCUUUACAUCUCCUGCUUCAGUGUGAUCUCAGCUCACUGCAACCUCUGCCUCCUGGGUGCAAGCAAUUAUCAUGCCUCAGCCUCCUG
rnacentral:lncRNA from 1 species